AACGCGAAGAACCUUACCAGGGCUUGACAUCCUCUGACGGCUAUAGAGAUAUAGUUUUCCCUUCGGGGACAGAGAGACAGGUGGUGCAUGGUUGUCGUCAGCUCGUGUCGUGAGAUGUUGGGUUAAGUCCCGCAACGAGCGCAACCCCUAUUGUCAGUUGCCAUCAGGUUAAGCUGGGCACUCUGGCGAGACUGCCGUUGACAAAACGGAGGAAGGUGGGGACGACGUCAAAUCAUCAUGCCCCUUAUGUCCUGGGCUACACACGUACUACAAUGGCAACAACAGAGGGCAGCCAGGUCGCGAGGCCGAGCGAAUCCCAAAAUGUUGUCUCAGUUCAGAUUGCAGGCUGCAACUCGCCUGCAUGAAGUCGGAAUUGCUAGUAAUGGCAGGUCAGCAUACUGCCGUGAAUACGUUCCCGGGUCUUGUACACACCG
rnacentral:rRNA from 1 species